GAUUGAUGUGGCGACUGGCAGUAUCGCCAUGCUGCAGCCCAGAAGAUUUACUUACUUGCACUACAUUUAAAAGAGUAAUAGGAUGCUUUCAUGACAUGCAUGAUGUUUAGCAAAAUGCCAGGCAAAGACAAAACGGCUGAGAGUUUGGAGUUUUACGUUGCCUGGCUACAAGAAGAGCUGUUGCCUUUCAGAAGAUGGAGAGGUCGGCGCUGGGUGCUGAAAGGGAGUAAAUGCCACACUGCUGAUGUAACCAUAGGGUUGCUGGAGCACACUACCGUCUUUAAAGUUUUAGAGGAAUCUUAAGGAAAGCUUACUGUCGCUCUCCAUUAGUGAAGUUACAAUUUCCUCACUCCAGUGCCUGCAGUGUUCAUCUUGGCAAAACGAAGACCAGCAAUAUGAGCUCUGAUUCUUGUGCCAUCUACCGCUGCGCCCCUGCAUCUCAACACAGCAAUUUCUUCUUGCUAGUGAGCUAACACUGCAGAUUAUGUAUUCCAGCAAGAUGUUACUCACUCGCAUCCUGCACCUUCGUGUGCAGAAGGGAUUACAUAUCA